rnacentral:rRNA from 1 species
CGUCAAGUCAGCAUGGCCUUGAUGUCCAGGGCGACACACACGCUACAAUGGCCGGUACAAUGGGCUGCGAUCCCGUGAGGGUGAGCGAAUCCCCAAAGCCGGUCCCAGUUCGGAUCGGGGUCUGCAACUCGACCCCGUGAAGUCGGAGUCGCUAGUAAUCGCGGAUCAGCAAUGCCGCGGUGAAUACGUUCCCGGGCUUU